UACGAGUGCUCCAAGCGUUAUCCGGAAUCAUUGGGCGUAAAGGGUGUGUAGGUGGUUUUCUUAGUCUUCUGUGAAAUUCUUCGGCUCAACCGGGGGCUCGCAGGGGAAACGGGAAAACUUGAGGAUGUGAGAGGUGAAUGGAACUCAUGGUGUAGGGGUGAAAUCCGUUGAUAUCAUGGGGAACACCAAAAGCGAAGGCAAUUCACUGGCACAUUCCUGACACUAAAACACGAAAGCGUGGGUAGCGAAUGGG
rnacentral:rRNA from 1 species